GCGUCUGAAUGGGACCCGGGAGGGGAGGCGGCUCGGUCCUUCGUGCCGUCCUCCCCGCUGGGAGGGGCAGCUCCAGCUCCGCUCGGCUCGCUCCGCCCGGCCACACCGGCUUUUUCCCCAUCAGGCGGUCCGAGUGCGGCUCCUCGCGAGCCUGCAAAGGAGCAGCAGGCGGUUCCUUUUCGGACGACCUGGAGCGAGGCCUGCGGGACUGCGCGCCCCGGCGGGCGGCGUGCGGCUCCCGGCAUGCGCGGCGGCUGCGUUCCCGCCGCCUCCGAGCUCGCCUGGGGCUGCCGCCCGCCUCCUGCCGGGCCCUCGGGCUCGCCCGGCACCGCGGGGCUUGAUCAGGGAGGUAGGCGGUGCUCCCUCCGGCCCCCGGCGUCGUGUGCCCUGCGGGUUUCGUGGCCCUUCCCCUACGCUGGAAUCUUCUGUGUCAUUUAGGGGGAGGGGAUGCGGGACGGCAUCUGUUUGACAACGCAUUGGUCCCACAGACAGCCUUUAAAAACAACUGCUUUUGGGGGGUGUCAGAACAUUUAAGCACAGGACGUCGGUGAGGCUUCCUGGCGGAGUGGGGCACACGCCAGCUUUACGGGACUUUUUGCUCAGUCCUGCCCCAGGACUGCAAUCGGAGGGGACCUGGGGCAUGGAGGAGACGCGAGUGAAAACCUAGUCAGCGGGCGGGCCCUCGGCCCCAUAAUCUACGUGAUCUCCUAGUGGGGUUUAAUUUCGGUGUAGUGUAAAUGAGAUGUCAGGCAGAGGAGCUGAUUUUAAUUACAGAUGGACAUUUUUGAAAGAAAUGGGUGCAAAUAGAAUGAAUGCAUGGAUAAUUUUAAUGGAAUGCCUAUGUAAACAAGGCCAAUUGUGAGUACUACCUUUGAGUUAAAAUGUGAGUGAGUGGUGACAAAUUUGGAUCUUCUUAGAUCCAGUUUGCAGCGUUGGUACACCUGAAUGGUGACCUAUUUAGAGCACUUUUGAAACAGCUGUUAAUAGUAACUAGCCUUUGACUUGCAAAGAGAAAUCUAGAUCUUUAUCUAGAGGAAAUUUUAAAUUUCAAACCAAAAUAAAGCACUCCAGGCAAUUUGACAUCUUGGGACGUCAACUAUUUCAAAGGACUGGGAAAUUGUCUUGGGUUAUUAUCCUAGGACACUGAGGUUUGGGCCAGUAUUAAGCAACCCAGACAGUACAGUGGAUAGUAUUUCUGAGAACAUUCUGGGAUUUUACUGUUCGUGAAAUCUUUCGGCCGGGUCUUGUCAAAAAACCGCCACUGUGAAGAACUGAAUUUUACUGGUUUUUACUUGAACCCUGCUAUUUUUGUUUUCUCACAAGUUUGAAUAAGCUGGUCUUUAUCAAAGGCGCAAAAUAAUGUGGGGUGCCUUGUUACAGGUCAGACACCGAAUGUACCUAUGGAUUUUAUUCAGUCUGAUAAGUGAUCUGCAAGUAGAUAAGAAAUGUGUUUAGAAACUAGAAGGGGAAAAAGGCAAAGAUGCAGAAUACCUAGAGUACUCCAGAAACAGAGCAAGAUGAGAGGAGGGAUGAGCAUGGGAUAGGAGACAUUUAUAGCAUUAUUGUCACCUUUUAUAAUUCUGUUGAACAGGCUGGUAAAAAAGCAAAAACAAUCCAAAGAAUAUUUUAGCUGGUACUGAUCUAAAACUGUAAAACACUGUAAUAUGAUAAUAUAUGUAUAUGUAUGAAUUAUUUUAGGCAUGCUUUUCUUGCUAUAUUUAUUUUAAGAGAUUAAUCUACGGCUUAUUCUUGCCACCCCCAAAAAAAAUCGCCACAAACCCUAAACCCAACUCUUGACCUUGGUUAUUGAGCGCUGUCCUUCCCUUCUGAGUGGUCACUUAACUGGAAAUAUGGGGCCUCUUCAGAUUGAAUUUCUUGUCUUCUAAAUGCAAAAUUUAAAAUCUCCCGUUCUCAGCAACUAGAAAUUAAUUUAUGGUAUUUAAUCCUGUGAAUAAAGCAAAAAGGCAUUUUAUUUGCUCUACAGUGUAUUAUCUACCAUAAAGCAACCCUAAAAAAAAGAUAAGUAACUGAUCUCCCCAAAUUAGUCUGGGAUUACCUUGAAUUUCUAAGUCUGACUUUAAGAGGUCCCUGGCAGGAAAUGUGUACGCCUCCGUACCUGUCUCUUGGGGAGAGCAACAACUUCAAACUGGUUGAAAACAAACUGGCAAGUAAUGGUGAAAGAUUCCUAAAGAUGCCUGCUGAGAAAAUUCAGCUUCUGUUUGAGUCAGAUCAAAUAAAUGAAAUCCUUUUCUUUUUUCUACUUUUUAAUAUUUUUAAACUUUUAUGGAAAUUUUCAAAGGCAAAAGUAAUACUACAAUAAAUCCUUAUAUACCGUCUACCCAGCUUCAACAUUUAGCAACAUAUGGCUAAGAUUAUUUAAUCUAUAGCCCUUCACAUUCCCUCACUCUUGCUGGAUUUUUAUCAUUUUAUCUGUAAAUACUUUAAAUAUGAAUAAUAUGAAUAGGUAAAAUAUAAUAGUUGUUUUUUGUUUGUUUGUUUUUGAGACUGAGACUUGCUUUUGUCGCCCAGGCUGGAGUGCAAUGGGGCGAUCUUGGCUCUUUGCAACCUCCGCCUCCCAGGUUCAAGCGAUUCUCCUGCUUCAGCCUCCCAAGUAGCUGAGAUUACAGGUAUGUGUCACCAUGCCCAGCUAAUUUUUGUAUUUUUAGUAGAGAGGGGGUUUCACCAUGUUGGUUAAAGCUGGUGUGGAACUCCUGACCUCCAGAGAUCCGCCCGCCUUGGCCUGCCAAAGUGCUGGGAUUACAGACGUGAGCCACCAUGCCUGGCCAAGAUAACAGUUUUUUAAGCAUAUCCGUAAUACCAUGUAUUCUGCCUCCCCAAAUUUUCUUACUAUCAUUUAAUAACUACACAAUUCAAAUUUUCCUAUUGUCUCAGUAAAUCUUUCACAUUUGGUUUAACAGGAUCCAGCAAAUCCCAUGCAUUUUAUUUGGUUACUGAGGUCUUUUCCAAACCAGUAAGAGGCAGUUAAUUCCCUGUUUAAUUCAGUGAAGCAGAGAGCAAUGUUUUUCUGAGGAAGAUAUUUAAGUAGUUUAAAAUCACUGCUUUAAAUAUGGAGAAAUUCAAGAAGAAAUCCUCAUAUGAAAAGUCACCAAUUGAUAGCGUGUUGUAAGAAAUGUAAUUGUACCUGAUGCAAAUAAAUAAAUCCUUAGUAAUCUAGGAGGCUGUGUUAGAGUGUAAUUUGUUCUAGAAGGUCCAGUGAAGCAUCUUAAAUUAUAGUGAAAAACCCUAAAACUUUAAAUCAAUUCAUUAGUACAAAAAGCAACUAAAGAAAAACCUAAUAGUCCUGUAAUCCCAGCACUUUGGGAGGCCGAGGCGGGCGGAUCACGAGGUCAGGAGAUCAAGACCAUCCUGGCUAACACGGUGAAACCCCGUCUCUACUAAAAAUGCAAAAAAUCAGCUGGGCGUAGUGGCGGGCACCUGUAGUCCCAGCUACUGGGGAGGCUGAGGCAGGAGAAUGGCAUGAACCCGGGAGGCGGAGGUUGCAGUGAGCGGAGAUCAUGCCACUGCACUCCAGCCUGGGCGACAAAGCGAGACUCCGUCUCAAAGAAAAAAAAAAAACAAAACCUAAUGGUGUGCGUCUCCACUGAACUCAGUUUUAAAGCAUUAAAGCAUUUUUUAUUACUUUAUUACAUAAGUAAUACACAUUAUUGUAGAAAAAAUUUAAAUAGAAAUAAAAAGAUAUAUAAAAGUCACUACAAACUGGAGAUAACUCUUCUCAAUAUCUAAAUAUACUCCAAGAUGUAAUUCCAUUUUAGCAGUUCUUUUGCUUUAAGAAAACACUUUGGCUAGGAUUGAAGUACAAAGUUAGGCCAGGUGUGGUGGCUCAUGCCUGUAAUCCCAGCACUUUGCCACGAGGUGGGCAGAUCACCUGAGGCCAGGAGUUCGAGACCAGCCUGACCAAUAUGAUGAAACCCCAUCUCUACUAAAAAUACAAAAAUUAGCCGGGCGUGGUGGCAUGUGCCUGUAAUCCCAGAUACUCAGAGGCUGAGACAGGAGAAUCGCUUGAACCCGGAAGGCAGAGAUUGCAGUGAGCCAAGAUGGUGCCAUUGCACUCUCCAGCCUGGGCAGCAAGAGCAAAACUCUGUCUCAUUUAAAAAAAAAAAAAAAAAAAAAAAAGGACAAAGUUAAGAAAAUAUCAGAUUCUGUAGAAGGAAUAUUAGAAAUCUGAGCAAUAUCACCCUGUACUUGGAGUUUAUGUGUUAGACUGCACAGAUUUAACUGGUGUAUACAGUCAAUCCUACUGCUUUAGAUUAUAGUACUAUUCAGCAUUUAGGAUGACUACUAAAAGCAAAAUAUGAUCCUAAAACGUUUUAACGAAGGGACCGUGUGAAUGACUGGGAUUGUAGUGAAGAGGAAAUUCGGUAUAAUAAGAUCUCAUAUUUUCAUAAACAAGAAAAAAGGCAAACGUAAUAUCCCCUUAGCUAUCCCAAAGAGAAAAAAUAGCACAUAUGGUAUACUUUGCAUAUUGCUGACCAGAAAAACAUUCAAUUUUCCCUGGUUAGUUACCAUAGUUACAUGAGCCCUUUAUAACAUCAAGAGGGGGAACUAGGUCACAGUUUUGAAGGAGUUUGAAUUAUGCAAUUAUGUUUUCUAAAAGCAGGGGAAAGGGUUUUUAAUUUAGAGAAGAGAGAUUUAUACUCUGUUCAAAAUUGAAAUUUUGGUCUAAUUUUGCUGGCAAAGCCUAAAAAUUUGUCCAAAAUUUAAUAGUUGAUAUAGUACAUAUAAAUUAUUCAACCUAUACAAAUAACAUAAUAGCUAGAUCCAUAAAAAUGACAUAUUCUGUCUUUGUAGAUAUCCCUUUUUCUCAAUGAGCUGUUAUCCAAAAAUGUUUUUGCAGGUAAUCAGGAAACCCAACAAUUGCCUAGCGUCUGAGAGUAGCCAAACCAUGUGUAAACUAAAGCCUUGAACUCUUCCGGUCUUUGAAAGUGUGAGGUAAAGGUUGGCACAGUGCCUGUCAGAUGCUACUCUUUGUUGUACAGCAAUUUUCCUAUUGAUUUCAUCAAAUGGAAGUGAGUGGCAGGAAGGGAAUGUAUUGAAAGUUGUGGUGGCACAGCCUUCACCCUUUAUAUAUAUUAUUAUUAUAAUUAUUUUUACUAAGAACCUUACAAAAAAGAUGUUUUUAUUUAAAAAAAAAAAAAAAGGCCGGCCUUGUGGCUCACCUGUAACCCCAGACUCUGGGUGGCCAAGGUAGGAGGAUCACUUGAGAACAGGAACGUGAGAACAGCUUAAGUAGCAGAGAGAUCCUGUCUCUGCAAAAAAUUAAAAAAUUAGCCGGGUGCAGUGGUGUGUACCUAUAGUAUCAGCUACUUGGGAGGCUGAGGCAGGAGGAUCCCUUGUGCCCAUGAGUUUGAGGCUGCAGUGAGCUAGGAUCGUACCACUGCACUCCAGCCUGGGCAACAGAGUGAGACCCUGUCUCAAAAAGAAAAUGCAUCUCAAGGUUGCAUGAUUUCAGAUAGUUGUUUUCAAUCUCAUGAUCACUCUAGACUCGUAAUUUUUUAAUGCUGAAGUUAUCUUAGAUCAACGAUUUCUCCAAAGGAAGGAAGAGCAGGCAACAGGCAGCUCAACUGGGUAGCUGGAGGAGCCAGUGUUGCUGAUGGUAGUUUAUCCUAACCAUCAUCUAUGUAAGGAUGGGGAAGAGGAUGGAGAUCACUAUUACAGAUCACCUACAGACCAGCUUUUUUACAGGUGAUAGUAUUGGGACGCAGAGAAGUUAGCUUGCCCAGUGUCAUAUAACAAUCCAUAAAAUAAGUAUAUACCUAAAAGUUUAAGAGUUAAACAAAUAAUUAUCUUUUUUCUGGCUGACAAUUAUUGAGGGGAGAAGCAGGCCCAUGGGAAAAAAUUAAGAACUCGGAUAUCAUAAAAUAUUUUUCUGUGAAGUCUCGCAGCAAAUUUAACAUCUCUGAAGGAAAAUUAGAAUUUCCUGGAGAAUAAUGUUUCAAGUAACCACCCAGUCAAAAGUACUAGAAACUGUGUAUCCUUUAUUCUUAUUUUAAAGGAUCAAUGCCUUAUGCUUUCAGCACUAGCUAAAGAAUAGUCUUUUAAAAAUGAAACUAAUGCUGUCGGCUAGGUGCUUUUUGCUAAAUCUAUUGUUUAUUUGAAGUACUUGAUUAUUUAAUGAGGUCUUAUUGGAGCUAUUGUUACAUUAAUUGCUCUUAGCAUGGUUAAUCCAAUAUUUGAUAGGUAUUGAUUAUCUUUCAUGGGUAACAGAUUUUUUUUUUUUUUUUGAGACGAGUCUCGCUCUGUCACCAGGGUGGAGUGCAGUAGUGUGAUCUCAGCUCACUGCAACCUCUGCCUCCUGGGUUGAAGCAAUACUCCUGCCUCAGCCUCCCAAGUAGCUGGGACUACAGGCGCACGCCACCACACCCAGCUAAUUUUUGCAUUUUUUAGUAGAGAUGGGUUUUCACCAUGUUGGGCAGGUUGGUCUCGAUCUCUUGACCUCAUGAUCUGCCCGCCUCAGCCUCCCAAAGUGCUGGGAUUAUAGGCAUGAGCCACCAUGCCCAGUAAGGGUAACAGAUAUUUAAAAAUUAUUUAUUUCCAUAAAUUGACAUUCUCUGACUGUUUUAUACAUGAAACCAGUAUAUCUCACUUUACACAAUACAUACAUUUCUGGAAAAUUGUAUUUAGAUCUUAUUUUGCUAAAUCAGGUAAUUUUAAAUGUGCCAGUUCUAUAAAAUGAGACCGAAAUUUUGAAAAUGAAAAUAUUCAUUUAAUACAAAUAAUUUAUCUUAUUUUAUUUAUUUUUCUCUGUUGUUACCUUGAGAAAACAUAGGUAGUGUUCAUUAACUGCAGUCUAGAUGUACUUUCAUUUUCUUGUUCUAACUAUACUGUAUAUUGCAGAUAUUUUAGUACAACAUCUUUUCAUCACAGAAAUGAUAUCUUCAGGGAAAAGACUUCGAAAAAGUGCCUGAAGUGACACAACACAUGUUUUCUUCUGGUAUCUGGCUAAAGUAAGUACGAAAAUUAGAUUAAAAACAAAGAUAUAAAAUAUAUGGGGGAAAAUUAUAUGGGAAGUAUUAGAAGCUAAAAAGCUAUAUAUUAAGGGGAAAUAGAAGAAUCAGAGAAAGAAAUGACUAUUUGAGCCAUUACUGAUGAUGGUAGAACAUUAAAAUUAAAAUUUAGGGACUGAGAUAUACAAAUUUUAUUUAUGGAGACUAUUUGUGAUACUUUUUUUAAAUAACAAAAAAUAUAGUUGCUGGCCAGGUGCAGUGGCUCACACCUGUAAUCCCAGCACUUUGGGAGGCCAAGGCAGGCGGAUCACUUGAGGUCAGGAGUUUGAGACCAGCCUGGCCAACAUGAUGAAACCUCACCUCUACUAAAAUACAAAAAUUGGCUGGGUGCAGUGGCAGGCACCUAUAAUCCCAGCUACUCAGGAGGCUAAGGCAGGAGAAUUGCUUGAGCCCACAAGGCAGAGCUUGCAGUGAGCUGAGAUCGCGCCACUGCAUUCCAGCCUGGGUGACAGAGUGAGAGACUGUCUCAAAAAAAAAAAAAAAAAAGUGUGUGUGUGUGUGUAUGUGUGUGCAUAUAUAUAUGUGUGUAUGUGUGUGUGUGUGUAUAUAUAGUUGUAAUACAGGGUUAGAGCAAUAGCAUAUCUAACCUAGUCUUUGACUUGAUAAUUGGUAUGUUGAUUAAAAAAUAACUUCAAAAAGCCAAGUGACUUCCUUAUAUGAUAUUACAUUUAGGAUAUCCUAAACAAUGUUAACUUUGUAUUCAGAUUAAAUAUCUCUGGAAAAAUAGUCCGGCAAUAUCUAGAGGCUUCAUUUAUCCUUUUGCACAUUUGUUUUUCUUUUUUUGGUAUAUGUAUUAUUUUAACAAAAAUCUAUGCUUCAUCUAAAAUAUAAAAGAAACAAAGAACUGGGUGGGUGCGGUGGCUCAUGCCUGUAAUCCCAGCACUUUGGGAGGCCAAGGCAGGUGGAUCACGAGGUCAGGAGAUCGAGACCAUCCUGGCCAACAUGGUGAAACCCCAUCUCUACUAAAAAAAAUACAAAAAAUUGCGUGAUGUGCGCGUGCCUGUAGUCCCAGCUAUUUGGAAGGCUGAGGCAGGGGAAUCGCUUGAACCCGGGAGGCAGAGGUUGCAGUGAGCCGAGAUCGUGCCAUUGCACUCCAGCCUGGUGACAGAGCGAGACUCCGUCUCAAAAAAAAAGGAAAAGAAACAAAGAACGUUAUGCACUUUCUAGAAUAACAAAAUGCAAAUGUAAUAUUAUCUACCAGGAAAAGAGUAGAUAAGUAGAUACACCAAAUAUUUGGAUUUAGUUCACUUUUAUGAUAAUUUUUUUUACUUAUUAGUCAUGUCUGAUCUUUGUAUACCAGCAUUCUAAUAACACAUAAAUUAUUACACAAAUUAAAGCAAAGAAGUACCACAGUUGGUAAAUUUGAAGCUUCUGAAGACUUCUCACUUUAGGAAUUAAUCUAGGCAGUUUUGGCUUAGAAACACAUUUUUUGUGAAAAAUUUUUAGCAGUUUAAGAGAAGUUGUAGGUAGCCCUCUUCUCAUUCAGUAUAGCCCUCAACUUGCUGCUAAGAGCUUUAACAAUUUUUGCAGGAUCUCACUUGAGUAUUUUAGGUUCAGAUGGAACAAUUCUUAUCACUUUUAUGAAUCAGAUGUUUUAAAAUUCAAAUUUAGAUUGAUGUUAUAUGUUAACACCGUCUAUAACAUCUGCCUACACCCUCGGAAGGGACCUAUGAAAUAUUAACUAGCCAAGGAAUCCUUUUCUGACUGUGGGCUUUUCUGUAGGAAUGAAAUCUGGCAGAAAUAUUUAAUGAAGAGGAAUCUGAACAUAGCAGUUGAGAAAGAAAGAUUGGGAGAAGACUCCAGAUGUCGUAAAGCAAAGAGAGGAUGAGGCACAGGAAGCAGCUCUUAUUAUUUCUGUUGCACUUUGGCUCAGAGAACUCCAAGCAAUUGAUUCUAUCCUGAGGACAUAUUUUUUCAAUUUGAGAUAUAAUUAAUUUGUUUUCCAGUAAAAUAGAUAUUAGUAGAUCUAUGACAUACAGGAAACAAUCGAAAAUAGAGAUAAGUGGUAAUAAUACCUCAUUACUUAAGACAUCUUUUUCAGAAAAUUAUUCUUCAGUGUGUGGUGCAUUGGCUUUCUAGGAAAGAACGGGAGGGAGAACCCUGCUGACAUGAAUAAUGGCCUGGGGGAGAGGGGGAGAGAAGCAAGAGAAAGGAGCAGUUAAGAGGAAAAUGAUGUCAUAUGGAAAGAAGGAAAUAGAUCAGGGCGUCUUUAAGAGCUAAUAUCAAUUGGGUUUAGUGUCUGUAUUUAGAGGAUGGGAGAGAAGAGGUAUCAUCUAGGGUUUUGGCUUGGGCCACAGGUAGAUCUUGUUAAGGCUGUACGAAAUAGAAAAUCCAGGAGGUAACGCAGGUGUGUGGGGGAAAUGAUACAAAUGUAAAUCAUACAAGGAUAUGAACCCUGUAGAUUUUACAACUUUGAGCUCUAUCCUUCUUAGGCCUUCUCUUCUAAGCAGCAUAAACUACUGCUGCCUACAUGUUGCCUGUUCAUAAAGGCUGAGGCAGGGGAGUCGCUUGAACUCGGGAGGCGGAGGUUGCAGUGAGCCGAGAUCAUGCCAUUUCCCUCCAGCCUGGCGACAGAGCAAGACUCCAUCUCAAAAAAAAGAAAAGAGAAGAAAAAAACAAAGAACUUUAUGCACCUUCUGGAAUAACAAAAUGCAAAUGUAAUGUUAUCUACCAGGAUAGAAAUUGGAGGCUAGAAUAUGUUGGGUAGGGUAGAGAGACUAGAGGGAAUGAUUUAGCAAUAAAAUAGGUUUAAAUAUCUUCUCACGUGCCCAGACUUAAUUAGCUUUGUAUUAUUCCUAUUAGUAAGCCAGGAAUUAGUACUAGGUGAUAAGCAAGGAUGUGCAGGGCCUUGUGAGGAAAAGAGUUACUGUAGCAGUUCUGGAUGCUUACCCCUUGCAUGUCUCCAGGGGAACCAUCUUUGACCUUGGCCAACCCCUGGAUUGCAAUCCUUGGAGUGUUCUUUAUGUUAGUGAUGAUGAUUUUGUUGUAUACACCUGGAGCAUUGGACCAUUCCAUACUGGCUCGCCAGGUUGCGUUGCACAAACACCAAGACUGAUAAAUAGGCACCUGGUUUUAUUAUUGGGCCCCUGAGUUUUGGUUGCCGUAGCCAAUUCCAUAGCAGAGUAUGAGUACAUGAACAGCCUCCCACAAAAGCCUUAAACCCUGAGACUCAAGUGGGAUUCUGUGGGCAGAGACAUUCCACACGUGUCUAUAGUUUGCUGAGAGAGAGACAGAAUUCCUGUGUAGCUGCAGACAAAGGACAACAGAAUCCUAUGUUGGACCUCUCUGGACUCCACUGAUACAUCUUUUCCUGUUGCUUUUGCCCUGUAUCCUUUGCUGUCAUUAAUCUGAGCCACGUAUUAAUAUAUAACCUGCUAUUGAGUCUUGUGAGGCCUUCUGGGAUCACCAAAGGAAACAACCAUAUACCUAGUACUGAAGAGAUUUUUUUAAAAGCCCAAUUUGUCCAUCUGAGUCUUGAUAGGAUUCACUGAAAAAGAAUAAUCAACAUAUGUGAGUAUCUGCAGUGUCGAGGUUUAAAUGAAAUCAAGGCUUUGGUCUUUGUCCAUGAGACAUUUAUAGUCUUUAUAGGGACAUGACACAUGUUAGGGAAAUGCUUAUAAGCAUAAGUAUAAAUAAAAGCAAAUUGGCAAUGAUGGCAGAAUUAAAGAGAGAUUAAAAUUGGUAAAAAUCAAGCAAGGCUAAUGAAAGAUGGUAGGUAUUUAAGAAGAGAUAUAGGACUGCAUUAUCAAAUGAUAGCCAUAAUUUUCCCCCAUAUGUACUUUAGCAGUAUGUAAAAACUGUAAAACAAAAAACUUUUUUCUUGGAUUUUAUCUGAUAUAUUCCAGGCUCAACUCAAGUUUGAUGAAUUAUUUGUACGGAAUCUAAAUUUGUACUAAAUCAAAAUUUAAGUGUUUUAUGCAACAAUUUUUUAUGAGCCCUCCAGUUACGGAUUUCAGCUGUGGGAUAAUGUUCUCAUGUGUUAUUAUCCCAGAGACUCCAUGCCAAGUCCUGUUAUAAUUAGUCACACCUGAUAAUUCCUUCAGUUGUGUGGUUAAGCUGCUCGUGUCCAAAGCAGUUUACCUGAACUACACAUGUGCAGGGCAGACUCUAAGCAGCCAAGAUUAAGAAGGAACUUUGAAGGUUCUGCUUCCUGUAAUGGCCAGAUAGCUCCUGUCAGAUCAGUGUUCCUGCAAAUAACAGCUAUACAUUCUGAACAGAAUUUAAAAAUCUACCAAAAGGCACUGGAGAGCAAGAAAAAGAAGGCAAAUUCUGGAUGGGAGUCCACACUUGGAAGAAGGAAAUAGCAGUUCAUGAGUUUCAUCAUAUAAGAAUGUCAUUUAGCCUGGGGGCAGGCCCUCAUCAGUACCAUGUGGAAUGACUAUAACUUUCAAACUUGCAGACUUACUGGCUUGAAGAGCCAGAGGUUGGAGUCCAGGACAACCACAGGUGGUGUAUGGUCUAAAGUUAAUACCAUGUAUUGCCUUGAUAUCUGGUAAAAUCAGGAGGCCCUUGAAUGGCCUAACUACAAGUUCCUGUCCACACUCCACUCCUUAGCUCAAGGAUCAGGCACAUUUCCUGCUUAUUCCUGAGUCACAGGUUUUAGUUCCCUGACAGCUUAUGGAAUUAUUCAUCCACACCAGUCACGUCCUCCCUCAGGAACCAGGAGCGACCUCAUCCUCUUGAUACUACAAAGCCUGCACCCGUGGUUGUUCUCUAUUUCCAAGUGCAGGCCCCACCUGGCCCCGUGUGGAGUGGGUGUUCUCUGCUAGGCUGUGAGUAUAUGUGACUAGUACACUGCUGUCAGUCUCAUCUGUGUAGUGUCUUGUGUUGUGUUUAGCUUAUUCCCAUAGCCUUACAGUAGAAAUCCCUCCCUCACCAAAGAGGCGAGGAGGAGGGAUGCAAACGCACAGCAAUGGGAAGUAGAGGAGAAAUCACAGAAAAGAGAGAUUCACAAAGGAGGAGCCUUAAAGACUAUAUAGAAAAUGCCCAAAUUUCUUGCCGAACCUAAACUACACAUGUGCACAGCAGACUCCAAGCAGCCCAUAUAAGCCUUAAAUAACUGAACUGAGAAGUUUGAGUUCAUCCAAGUGUCCAGGUUAGAAUCUAAAAUUACUAGGCAUACGAAAAAAUAAGAAAAUGUGACUCAAAGUCGAUCAGUUAUCCCAGGAUGAACCAGAUGUUGGAAUUAGAGACAAAAAUUUUAGAGCAGCUGUCAAAACUAUGCCCAAGGAUUUAGAGGAAAAUAUACUCAUAAUGAAUGAAAAGAUAGGAAAUCACAGAAGAGAAAAACCAUAAAAAAGAACCAAAGGUUAAUGCUAACAUUGAAAAUAUAAUAUUUAAAAUGAAAUUUUUGCUGGAUAGCCUUAAGAUCAGAAUAGAGGCCAGGUGUGGUGGCUCACAUCUGUAAUCCCAGCACUUUGGGAGGUGGAGGCAGGUCGAUCACCUGAGGUUGGGAGUUUGAGACAAGCCUUACCAACAUGGAGAAACCCGGUCUCUACUAAAAAUACAAAAUUAGCUGGAUGUGGUGGCGCAUACCUAUAAUCCCAGCCACUCAGGAGGCUGAGGCAGGAGAAUCGCUUGAGCCCAGGAGGUGGAGGUUGCAGUGAGCAGAGAUCACUCCAUUGCACUCAAGCCUGGGCAACAAGAGGAAACUCUGUCUCAAAAGAAAAAAAAGAUCAGAAUAGAAAUAACGUAAGAAAGUAUCUGUGAAUUUGAAGGUAAAGCAAUAGAAAUUAAUUCAAUCUGAAGAUCAGAGAGAAAAAUAAAAUAAGGAAUGGUGCCUAAGAGACAGGACAAUACAAAAAGAUCUAACGUGUAUAGGGUUCCAGAAAGGAAAGAGAAAAUGGAUGCCCAUUAUUUGCUGCUGCCAUGGCACGGGGGUACCCCUGUCCCCAAAUUGCGCCCAAAAGGCAACAUAGAGGAGACUGAGGAGGGGGUGGAAUAGGAGCCACAAGGAGCUAAAUGAGACCCAUCAUGACAAUGGCGCCAAAUGGAGAUGCUCCCAAAGAACUCUGGUCUGUAGCUGGAUCCAUUUCUGAUCUCUCCCUCUUCAUGGCUCAAAAGAUAUACGGGUUUUCCAGAACAGCCUUGUGGAUUGCAACCACUUUCUUUAUACUCCUGGCUGUUCUGUUGUCUUGGAGACUAAGUCACAAGUGGAACAACAGCAGCAACUAGAAGCAGCAGUGGAUACUUUCUAGGGCCUACCACGGGGCCUACCACAGGCUCUCCCUUCACUCCUGGAGAGAUCUAGAUUGUUACUGCCAUAUAUGAGCCAUCCUGGUGGGAGAAGUUUGAAAUUCAAGUCUCUAGACUGCUGAUUAUUUGGACUUUUUUUCUUUUUUUGAGACGGAGUCUCGCUCUGUCGCCCAGGCUGGAGUGCAGUGGCGCAAUCUCGGCUCACUGCAAGCUCCGCCUCCCAGGUUCACGCCAUUCUCCUGCCUCAGCCUCCCGAGUAGCUGAAACUACAGGCGCCCGCCACCACGCCCGGCUAAUUUUUUUGUAUUUUUAGUAGAGAUGGGGUUUCACCGUGUUAGCCAGGAUGGUCUCGAUCUCCUGACCUCGUGAUCCGCCCGCCUCGGCCUCCCAAAGUGCUGGGAUUACAAGCAUGAGCCACCAUGCCCGGCCGGAUUUUUUUUCUUUACUUUGGCACAUUGAUCUAUCUAAAGCAGGUCAGAAGAAUCCUCCUCACAGCGUUUCACAGAGAGACUCCCAACUUUCAACUGUGCCCUCCAUGCUUUUCUGCCCCAUUUUUUCUCUCCUCACUCAGAUACCACAGUACAUCAGUGCAGAGGGCUACUCCAUCUCUAGCCACCCUACCCCUUUGACUAGAUUUUUCCUAACUGGUUGAUCUCCUCGCUAUCCCAUCGUAGGGCAGGAACUGAUGCUAGUGGAGGGAUGUAUCCUUGACCAUCAAUCAGAAUGAGGAAGGAUGUGCACAUGGCAUGAAGCAGACAAAAUGCAUUACAGCUGUAGUGUAAAGUGGAUGCUGUGGAUUUCUAUGCAUGUUGUAAAGGAGGAAGGCCAGCAGCAAAUUCAGCCACAGAAUGGGAACCUUGGAGGACAGAGUAGGAGAUCAUUUCCUCUGUGCAUUUUGGCUGUUAGACUUGUACGUAUGUUUUAUUUGUUUUUUGAGACAGAGUCUCGCUCCCUCGCCCAGGCUGGAGUACAGUGGCGCAAUCUCGGCUCACUGCAACCUCCACCUCCCAGGUUCAAGCAGUUCUCCUGCCUCAGACUCCCAAGUAACUGGGAUUACAGGCACCCACCACCAUGCUCAGCUAAUUUUUUGUAUUUUUAGUAGAGAUGGGGUUUUGCCAUGUUGGCCAGGCUGGCCUCAAACUCCUGGCCUCAGGUGAUUCACCCACCUCUGCCUCCCAAAGUGCUCGGAUUACAGGUGUGAGCCACCAUGCCCGGCCUGUGUGUAUGUUUUUAAAAAGCCAGUGCUCACUUUUUGUAUUUAAAUUUCAAAAAUGAGGCUGGGUACAGUGGCGUGCACCUGUAGUCCCAGCUACUCAGGAGGCUGAGGUGGGAGGAUCACUUGAGCCCAGGAGUUUGAGACCAGCCUGGACAACAUAGCAAGACUUCCAUCUCAGAAACAAAAACAAAAAACAAACAAAAACAAAACAGAGCCAAACCAUUGAAAAGGAAAAAAUAAAAAGAAUAUCUUUAGAGUAACCAAAGGAAAAUGACAUUUUAUGAGGGGAACAAAGAUUUGAAAUGCCAUUGACUACUCAUCAGAAUCAAGUGAAAUGACAUAUUUAAAGUUCUGAAAAAAAAAAUCAACCCUUUAUCUGGAAAUAAUCAUACAGAUGAAAUGAAAAUAUCAUGCAAUAAUGAGGGCAAAUUAAAUACAUUUUUACUUAAAACGUAGAAUCUGUCACUAGCAGACCUGUGCUACAAGAAAUGCUAAAUGAAGUUCUUUAGACAGAAGGGAAAUAAUACCAGAUGGAAACCUGAAUGUUCAGGAAGGAAGGAAGAGGCUCAGAAAGGUAAAUAUGUGGGUAAGUAUAAAAGACUCCUUUUCCUCAUAAUUUCUUUAAAAUACGGGACUGUUCAAAGCAAAAAUUAUAACAAACCCUGUAAUGAAAUUUAUAACAUGGAAAUGUGAUGCAUUUGACAGCUAUAGCUUAAAGUACAGGUAGAGUGCAAGGGGCUUGUAUUUUUAUGUCAUGUGGCACAAUAUUAACUUUAAAAACACUAUGAAAAGUUAAGGUUGGUUAUUGUCAUCCCUUGGGCAACCACAAAAAAGCAACUCAAAGAGGUUUUCCUAAAUUCGUCCAUAGCAAUAAUUACAUUACAUUUGAAUAAACUAAAAACUCCAAUUAAAAUGCAAGGAUUGUCAGAAUGCAUUAAAAAGUAAGGCAAUUAUAUGCUGUCUAUCGAUGAUAUUUAAAUAUAAAAACAGAUAGGUUGAGAGUAAAUGGAUGGAAAACGAUAGGCACAAAAUAUAAGCAUAAGAAGGUUGGAGUGGCUAUUUAUCACAUAAUGUAGAUUUCCAGACAAAGAGAAUUAUCAGGGAAAAAAGGGACUUAUUUUUUUUGAGAUAGAGUCUCGCUCUGUCGCCAAGGCUGGAGUGCAGUGGUGUGAUCUCAGCUCGCUGCAGCCUCUGCCUCCCGGGUUCUAGCAAUUCUCCUGCCUCAGCCACCUGAGUAGCUGGGAUUACAGGCAUCUGCCACCAUAUCCGGCUGAUUUUUGUGUUUUUAGUAGAGACAGGGUUUCGCCAUGAUGGCCAGGCUGGUUGUGAAUUCCUGACCUCAGGUGAUCUGCCCACCUCCGUCUCCCAAAGUGCUGGGAUUACAGGCAUGAGCCACCGUGCCCAGUCUGGACAUUUCAUAAUAAAACAGUCACUACAUUAGAAAGAUAAUUGUAAGUGGGUAUGUACUUAACAGCACUUCAAAAUACUUGAAGCAAAAUUUGACAGAAUUAAACAUCUCUUCUUCAGGAAGUGAUAGAACAUGUUUAAAAAAUCAGUAAGGACAUAAGAGCUGAACAAAACCAUCAGUCACCUUGACCUAACUCACCUAACUGCACUCAACACCUGCAGAAGAAUGAACUAUAAUUUUUUUUUUUUGAGAUGAGUCUUGCUCUGUUGUCCAGGCUGGAGUGCAGUGGCAUGAUCUCAGCUCACUGCAAGCUUCGCCUCCUGGAUUCAUGCAUUCUCCUGCCUCAGCCUCCCAAGUAGCUGGUACUGCAGGUGCCUGCCACCACACCUGGCUAAUUUUGUUUAUUUAUUUAUUUAUUUAUUUAUUUUGUAUUUUUAGUAGAGACGGGGUUUCACCGUGUUAGCCAGGAUGGUCUCGAUCUCCUGACCUCGUGAUCCGCCUGCCUCAGCCUCUCAAAGUGCUGGGAUUACAGGCGUGAGCCACCGCGCCCAGCCAAAAAUGUUUAUGGUGAAUUUGAAAUAGGAUGUCCUUUUUUGAUAAUUGAAUCAUUUUUAUGUGCAAAGUUAGAUUUCCAUUUUUUUUUUUUUUGCUGGUUAAAAUAAUGUAACAUACAUUAAAAAUUUUACAUAUUCGAGUUUCUUUGUAAUGUGAUAAAUAACACUUGUCCUGAAACGAUGAACAUUUCUCUCUGAGGGAAGUACUGAGUUUAUUCUAAAGAGCAAAUAAAGGCUGGCUUAUAGCCAACUGUCAUUCCUUAGUAUCUUUAAAUUCCCCAGAAUCUUCUAAUAUACACAUUCCACCUCCUACGUUGUUUGAAAGUAACUGACCAAGACACAUUUUUUUCUUAAAUAGCACGUUUCCCUUUAAAGUUUUGUGUGAAUUGAGUUUUAUAAAUCCAUUUAAGAAAAUGAUUAGGAGAGCUAAAGAAGAGUUUUAAUAAAUCUUUAGGUUUUUGUUUAUAACACUACAUUUCACUGAGUAUUUUUGAUUUGUUCUUUACACUGACACUGAGGUAGGCGGCUUUUCACAGAUGAAGAAAUAGGCUUACAGAGGCCAGAUUCUAACAUGGAGGUCAGAUAGCUACUGAAUAGUGGAGCCAGGUCUUCUGGUUUCCAAUAAAAGUCCUUCCAUUAUCCUGUACAAAUUAAAAAAAUCUUUUUUUUUUUUUUUUUUUUCUUUUUUUUUUUUUUUUUUUUUGAGGCAGGUUCUCACUCUGUCGCCCAGGCUGGAGUGCAGUGGUCUGAUCACAGCUCACUGCAGCCUCGACCUCCCAGGCUCAAACCAUCUUCCUGCCUCAGCCUCCUGGGUAGCUGGGACCACAGAUGUGUGCCACCACACUAGAUUAACCUCUAUUUUUGAUACAGAUGAUGUCCCCCUAUGUUGCCCAGGCUGGUCUCAAACUCCUGGGUUCAAGUGAUCUUCCUGCCUCGGCCUCCCAGAUUGCUGGGAUUACAGGCAUGAACCACUGUCCGUGGCCUAAAAGGAUCUUUUAUUUUUAUAUUUUUAUUUUUAAUUUUUUUGAGAUGGAGUUUCACUCUUGUCAUCCAGGCUGGAGUGCAAUGGCAUGAUCACGGCUCACUGCAACCUCUGCCUCCCAGGUUCAAGUGAUUCUCCUGCCUCAUCCUUCCAAGUAGCUGGAAUUACAGGCACCCAUCACCAAGCCCAGCUAACUUUUGUAUUUUUAGUAGGGAUGGGGUUUCACCACAUUGGCCAGGCUGGUUUUGAACUCCUGACCUCAGGUGAUCCACCCGUCUCGACUUCCCAAAAUGCUAGAAUUACAGACAUGAGCCACCCCGCCCGGCCAAUUUUUUUUUUUUUUUUUUAAAUAAAGAUGAAGUCUCACUGUGUUGCCCAAGCUGGUCUCAAACUCCUGGGCUCAAGCGAUGCUUCUGCUCUGGCCUCCCACAGUGCUGGGAUUACAGGUGUGAGCCACCAUGCCCAGCCAAAACCAAUUGUUAAACAAGAAAAAUAUUUUUAAAACAUCAGAGUGGAAAAGAUUCUUAAACAAGAUCCUCAAUUCAUAAAUGAAUAAGAGUACACCAAAAUUAAAUAGUUUUGUUCAAAGAAAGAUAGAAUAGACCAUGUUAACACAUGGGUAACAGACUGGAAAGAAAUACAACAUAUAAAAGCAAUAAAGGGAUAAAUAGCUACAAAGAACUUCUGCAGGCCGAGCACAGUGGCUCACGCCUGUAAUCCCAACACUUUGAGAGGCCGAGGCAGGUGGAUCACCUGAGGUCAGGAGUUUGAGAGCAGCCUGGCCAACAUGGUGAAACCCCAUUCUACUAAAAAUACAAAAAUUAGCCCUGCAUGGUGGCGGGCACCUGUAAUCCCAGCUACUCAGGAGGCUGAUGCAUGAGAAUCGCUUGAACCAGGGAGGCGGAGGUUGCAGUGAACCGAGAUCGCGCCGCUGCACUCCAGCCUGGGCAACAGAGUGAGACUGUCUCAAAAAAAAAACUUCUGAUAAUCAGCAAGAUAAAACAGGAAACCCUAAAGGAAAAUAGUCAAAGGCUAUGAGUAGGAAUUUUCUUAAAGAGAUUCUCAAUCUCACCAGAAGAUCACUUGAGGUCAGGAGUUUGAGACCAGCCUGGAACAUGGUGAAACGCUGUCUACUAAAAAUACAAAAAUUAGCUGGGUGGGGUGGUGGGUGUCUGUAAUCCUAGCUACUCCCGACGCUGAUUCAUGAGAAUGCUUGAGCCUGGGAGGCAGAGGUUGCAGUGAGUCAAGAUGGCACCAUCACACUCCAGCCUGGGUGACAGAGCAAGACUCCCUCUCAAAACAAAUGUAAAUAAAUACAUAUAUAUACUGUUUUUAUCUUUCACACUUCUAACCUAAUUAAGGUUUAUUUUUUAUAAGUUGUAUAUAGUAGAGACAUAAUUUAUUUUCUCUUCCAUGAAGCAAGCCAUUUUUCCAUUUUCACUAAAUGACCAUUUCCCCUAGGAUUUGUCAUGCCACCCCCAGGUGAUUCAGCUAUCGUGCAUACUCCAUUCUUUUUUUUUUUUUUUUCCAAACAGAGUCUUGCUCUGUCACCCAAGCUGGAGUGCAGUGGCAUGAUCUCGGCUCACUGCAAUCUCCGCCUCCCAGGUUUAAGCAAUUUUCAUGCCUCAGCUUCCCAAGCAGCUGGGACUACGGGCACGUGCCACCACGCCCGGCUAAUUUUUGUAUUUUUAGGAGAGACAGGGUUUCACCAUGUUGGCAAGGCUGGUCUCGAACUCCUGACCUCAAGUGAUCCUCCUGCCUUGGCCUCCCAAAGUGCUGGGAUUAUAGGUGUGAGCCACUGCUCCUAGCCCACAUUCCGUUCUGUACCAUUCCUGGCUCUGUGCCUUGACUCUCUCCAUUCCCUUGCUCUUUCUCUAUGCCCACUACCCAAAAUACAGAAAUUUAAAAUUUUGUUGGCUGGAUACUGUGUCUUUAUAUUGAUAGGCAAUUCUUUUCUCUUUUCUUUUUCAAUUAUUUAUAUAAUUCUUAUACAUAUAAUAAUAUAGAUAAUUCUUUUUCGAUUAUAUUAGCUAGUGUGUAGAGGUUUAUUUAUUCAUUUAUUUGUCAAAUUGUUGCAAAAAAAUCUUGAUAGGAUCUUUAUUAGUAUUGCACCACAUUUAUAGAUUAACUUUGGAGGACUGAACAAUUCUACAAUGACAAAUUGUCCCAACCAAGAGCAUGAUAUUAAUAUCCAUUUAUGCAGAAGUUAUCUUCUCCUUAUUUAUAUAUUUUUCUCUUUAAUUUAUUUGAAUUUUUUUGAAGUAGUACGUGCGCAUAGUACAUGCAAACAGUAAAAAGGGAUAUCAAUAAAAUAAAUAUAGUUCUGCCCCUGACCUCAGCCCCCGCAGCUUCUCUUCCCAGAGGAAGAGCCAGUUUCUUCCCAAAAGAAGCCAGAGAUUUGCUGCGCAUAUGCAGGCGUUUAUGGAUGUUAUAGGAUGUUAGUUGGGACCCUUCCUGUCAAAAUUUCAGUAGAGGCAAUGAGUCUGUGUAUGUUAUUUCCAAAUAAACCAUCAUGCAAAAACCUUAGCAUAGGUGCAUGCGUCUUUUUUUUAUUUUUUAUUUUGAAACAGAGUCUUGCUGUGUCACCCAGGCUGGAGUGCAGUGGUGCGAUCUCGGCUCACUGCAACCUCCACCUCCUGGGUUCAAGUGAUUCUCCUGCCUCAGCCUCCCACGUAGUUGGGCUUACAGGCCUGUGCCACCUUGCCCAGCUAGUUUUUGUAUUUUUUUAAAAGAAGUCAUAAACAGCAUUUAUUACCUUGGUAUAUCAUACUGGUCUUCUUGCUGUUCCUUCACAUUUAAGUGGCUUUCCAUCUUUCCUGCCUCCUCCCACAGCCUGGUUACACAGUGCAUGCCUGAACUGUUAGCCCUCAGCAGCAAUAUGCUUAUUCCAUCCACAUCCCUAACCUCAUGCAUUCACAAGGUGAAAGUUCUGGUCCACAAACCCUUCCCUACAGGAAGUUCAAUGGUUGCGAAAGAAUCUGUAGUAAACCAGGCCUCCCAGGACGGCGAGCUCCAGUAAGAUGAUGAUGGAAAACAGCAGCUUGUUGGUUGUCACUUUUCUGGACAUUGAACGGAGAAUCUUUCGACUUUUGCUCAAGUUUUCAGUUGUGUUUAUCAGUCUACUCUUGGUGCGUUCUAAAUGGUCUCGUUGUUCCCCCAGCUCUUCUAUGGUUUCUGAGCCAAUCUGGUCAGUCUCCGUGGCAAUCUGAUGAGAACGUUCAAUACUUUGGGUGGCCCGGUUCAGGUUUUCAGGACCUUGCAGAAGCAUUGCCCUUUGAGACUGUAGCCGAUUCAUAUGCUCAUUCUCUACAGCAUAUAUGUCAUAUUUCAUGUCUCCUCGCCCUCCUGGUGUGGCUGUCAAAGGCGUGCUUCUCACCUCCCGAUGGAGUUUGGCAAGGUCCUUCCGGUAGUUUCGAAGCUUAGACGUCAUGGUGUUAUGGAAAGACAGGGGUGCAUAACGUAGCUCCUCCUCCAUCCCUGCCAGCAUUUCAUUUGCUUCCUGUUGCUUUUCAUCAAAAUCCCUGAUCGACUUAUUCUCUUCGGUCCCCGCCGUCCCCAGCAGCUGCUCGGGCACCCCUUGUAGGUCUUCGUGGAGGCCGCGGAAGAUUUCGUGCAGCUUCUUGAAACGCUCGGAGGAGGCGGCGGAGGUGGCCAUGGCGCAGGCCGCGCUCCAGCAGCGGCCACCAAGAUUCGGGGCGCUGGGCCCUCUCCUAGCCCAGCGGUCAGCCGCCCAGCCCCGUGGCUAUCACAGCGACCGCCGCGCCACCGCUGCCCAGGACGAGGCUCUUCUGGGGCGCUAUUUUUUUGUAUUUUUAGUAGAGACGGGGUUUCACCAUGUUGGUCAGGCUGGUCUCGAACUCCUGACCUCAAGUUAUCUGCGUACUCCGGCCUCCUAAAAUGCUAGGAUUACAGGCAUUGAGAGGUGACAGCGUGCUGGCAAGUCCUCACAAUCCUCGCUUGCUCUCGGCGCCUCCUCUGCCUGGGCUCCCACUUUGGCGGCACUUGAGGAGCCCUUCAGCCCACCACUGCACUGUGGGAGCCCCUUUCUGGGCUGGCCAAGGCCGGAGCCCGCUCCCUCAGCUUGCAGGGAGGUGUGGAGGGAGAGGCCCGAGCGGGAACCGGGGCUGCGCGCCGCGCUUGCGGGCCAGCUGGAGUUCCGGGUGGGCGUGGGCUUGGCCCUGCCGGCCCCGGGCAAUGAGGGGCUUAGCACCCGGGCCAGCGGCUGCGGAGGGUGUACUGGGUCCCCCAGCAGUGCCAGCCCACCGGCGCUGCGCUCGAUUUCUCACCGAGUCUUAGCUGCCUUCCUGCGGGGCAGGGCUCGGGACCUGCAGCCCGCCAUGCCUGAGCCUCCCACCCCCUCCAUGGGCUCCUGUGCAGCCCGAGCCUCCCUGACGAGCUCCACCCCCUGCUCCAGGGCACCCAGUCCCAUCGACCACCCAAGGGCUGAGGAGUGCUGCAGGCGCACGGACCCGGGACUGACAGGCAGCUCCACCUGCAGCCCCGGUGGGGGAUCCACUGGGUGAAGCCAGCUGGGCUCCUGAGUCUGGUGGGGACUGGAGAAUCUUUAUGUCUAGCUCAGGGAUUGUAAAUACACCAAUCGGCACUCUGUAUCUAGCUCAAGGUUUGUAAACACACCAAUCGGCACCCUGUGUCUAGCUCAGGGUUUGUGAGUGCACCAAACGACACUCUGUAUCUAGCUACUCUGGUGGGGCCUUGGAGAACCUUUGUGUAGACACUCUGUAUCUAACUAAUCUGGUGGGGACGUGGAGAACCUUUGUGUCUAGCGCAGGGAUUGUAAAUGCACCAAUCAGUGCCCUGACAAAACAGACCACUCGGCUCUACCAAUCAGCAGGACGUGGGUGGGGCCAGAUAAGAGAAUAAAAGCAGGCUGCCCGAACCAGCAUUGGCAACCCGCUGGGGUCCGCUUCCACACUGUGUAGGCUUUGUUCUUUCGCUCUUUGCAAUAACUCUUGCUACUGUGCACUCUUUGGGUCUAUACUGCUUUUAUGAGCUGUAACACUCACCGCGAAGGUCUGCAGCUUCACUCCUGAAGCCAGUGAGACCACGAGCCCACCGGGAGGAACUAACAACUCCAGACGCGCUGCCUUAAGAGCUGUAACACUCACUGCGAAGGUCUGCAGCUUCACUCCUGAGCCAGUGAGACCACGAACCCACCAGAAGAAAGAAACUCCGAACACAUCUGAACGUCAGAAGGAACAAACUCCAGACGUGCCACCUUAAGAACUGUAACACUCACCGAGAGGAUCUGCGGCUUCAUUUUUGAAGGCAGUGAGACCAAGAACCCACCAAUUCCGGACCCAGCAUGAACCACAGAGCCUGGCCAAUAGAUGCGUCUUGAGCCCCUAGUCUCCAUUAAGUAUUUUAAAAGGUAAAUAGAUAGGGAAGAUGACUAUAGAGAUGGCUGUGCGGUGGAGUCCUCCAGCGAAAGAGGGGGCAGAAAACCUCAGGUUGGGAGGGGAGGACUUAGUGGGACCUUUCAGAAAAUCUAAUAUGUUCACCUGUAAUUAAAAAGACAGUGCAUUAACCGAAUCUCACCUAGAAAUCAAGAAAGACAAAGAAGAGAUGACUAGCUCCUGAAAAGGCAGGCACGAAGAAGGGGUCGUCGAUAUUUUGGGAUCAGCCUACAUUCCUGAGUUUGUUAGGCCCAAUGUUGCUUGAGUAUUUCCUGCAGAUCACAUGAAGGCCCCAGAGUCGGGAGCCAUUUAAAAUCCUGACCAAGAGGCACAAUGGGACUCCAUGAGAAAAAUGUCCAUGUGGAGUGGGCCAUGGAAAAUCCUAUUAGUGGUGGAAAUGUCAGCAAGAGGAAAAUACAUUGUCUCAGUCAUGGGAAAUACACCCAUAGAUUCCUAGUAGAGGCCUUUGAAGGACAAAAGCAUUUACUAUAGAAACACUUUUAAACUCCUGCCAGGCCCAAGGAAUGAGAAGUCAUUUUAGUUUUCAGAUUUAAAUCCCUAAUGAUCAACCAUAUGAACACAGUCCUGUUUAAGAAUCAUUCUCUAAUAGUCAUAUCAAAGUCUUUUUAUGGUAAUGUGGAGUAUUAGUAACAAUAGGGCCAGACGCGGUGGCUCUUGCCUGUAAUCUACCACUUUAGGAGGCUGACUCAGGCAGACUGCUUGAGCCCAGGAGUUCGAGACCAGUCUGGGCAACAUGGCGAAACUCUGUUUCCACAAAAAAUACAAUAAAAUUAGCCAGGAAUGGUAGCUUGCAGCUGUAGUCCCACCUACUCAGGAGGUUGAGGUGGGAAGAUCACUUGAGCC
rnacentral:lncRNA from 1 species